AGUUUCACUUCUUAGUCCAAAGGCAUAAUAAGCCUAUCGGCACUCAUGUAGAGACGCAAUUCUUUAACUCUCUUUAGUCUCAACACGUUCCCUAGUCCCAAGGGGGACCUCUCUGCCCCAGAGGAGAUGCCCAGCUUGGAUCUGCACUCACUUGCAGUUAGCACACCUGCCCAAGGCAUUAGUCCGCACACCUGCCCAAGGCAUUAGUCCGCACACCUGCCCAAGGCAUUAGUCCGCACACCUGCCCAAGGCAUUAGUCCGCACACCUGCCCAAGGCAUUAGUCCGCACACCUGCCCAAGGCAUUAGUCCGCACACCUGCCCAAGGCAUUAGUCCGCACACCUGCCCAAGGCAUUAGUCCGCACACCUGCCCAAGGCAUUAGUCCGCACACCUGCCCAAGGCAUUAGUCCGCACACCUGCCCAAGGCAUUAGUCCUGCUGCUGCUCCACUGUUUUCAGGGCCUGACUCAUGAACCAGAACAUCGGCUUCUUUUUGGCCCCAUGGCACUAACUCUACUUCUUCCAAGAUGGCAUCUCAUCAGUCGUCCCCUUUUCUCCUGUUCUUCUCGGUCUGCACUGGAUGGCGUCACCGCUCAGACCUAGCACCAUGUACCGGGUGAUGUGCUGCCCGCACCAGGGCUUCUGUCAUCAAAAGGGUGACACUUUCUUUUCUUCGCAGCCCCACCCGAGCACCCGGGAAAGGGACCACCACACUUUUAAGAUAUUAUCAUUGCUUGCUGUCUCCAACGGGGCUCACAAUCUACGUUCCCCAUCAGUAUGUCUUUGGAGUGUGGGAGGAAAUUGAGUACCUGGAGGAACCCCACACAAACAUAGGGAGAACAUGCAAACUCCAUGCAGAUGUUGCCUUUGGUUGGAUUUCAACCUAAGAUGCCAGAGUUGCAAGACACCAAUGCUAACCACUGAGCCACCACACUGCCCAUAUGCCAAUUCAAGAAAACCUUGAAGAUUACUGUGGGCACACAUACUCAAGAGACAUCUCGAGAGGGCCUAUGGGAGCCAACGCUUUACAACGGGGCUUUGCAGCCAUUGUCACAAUGAUAUACCCCCACAGCCUAACGUGAAACAAGCUUCUAGGGAGUCAUCUCUGUUCCAUCGCCCACUUCCAAGGGAAUUUCCAUAAACACGUGUCACUUUGCUGGCUCCAGCACCGCCCCCAAUAAGGCACAGCUAGUGUGUAGCUCCACCCACCCGGCUUGUUACAUAGAUGCUCCCUCAUCACCGUCCCACCCAUGGACAUGACAUCACAGGAAAUAGGAAACAGCUGCAUGGACAUGGUCAUGUGACCACAGCCCAGAAUGGACGAUAGGAGCAAUAAAGGCAAAAGAAAUUACAGUGACCUUCAUGAAUGAUUUGC